GUCCACGCCGUAAACGAUGUCAACUAGCCGUUGGGGAUCUUGAAUCCUUAGUGGCGCAGCUAACGCACUAAGUUGACCGCCUGGGGAGUACGGCCGCAAGGUUAAAACUCAAAUGAAUUGACGGGGGCCCGCACAAGCGGUGGAGCAUGUGGUUUAAUUCGACGCAACGCGAAGAACCUUACCUGGCCUUGACAUGCAGAGAACUUUCCAGAGAUGGAUUGGUGCCUUCGGGAACUCUGACAC
rnacentral:rRNA from 1 species